rnacentral:lncRNA from 10 species
GGAGGUUGCAGUGAGCCGAGAUCGCACUAUUGCACUUCAGCCUGGGCGACAGGGCGAGACUGUCUCAGACAACAACAACAACAACAAAUACCCUACCUUUGUAUUCCUUUGACCGAUCAUGAGCGCACUGACGCUCACAAACGCCUAUGAGAUGCGGGUGGCAGCAACUUAUCUAUUUCACGUAUUUUAACCCUUGUUUAUGCCACAUGCCAUAGGUUCUAUCAUUGCCCCAUUUUACAGAUGAAGAAACAGAGGCUUUGGCUGCUUGCCCGAGAUCCUGUGGCUGUUCUGGAGGUCAGACGUCUAAAAUCAAGGUGUCAACAGGACUGUGUUCCCUUCUGGAGGAAACAGAUGAACCCAUUUCCUCGCCUUUUUCAGUGUCUAGGAGCCGCCUGCAUUCCUUGGCUCGUGGCCCCUUUCUUGGAAUCACUGCAGUCUCUGCCUUUGUCACUGAGUCUCCUUAACUCUGACCCUCCCACCUCCCUCUUAUAAAGACCCCUGUGACGAUAUUGGGCAUAUCCAGAUAAUCCAAGAUAAUCUCCCCCAUUUUAAGAGCCUUAAUCCCAUGCACAAAGUCCCUUUUGCCGUGUGACAGAACAUAUCAUAUCCACAGGUCUUGAGGAUUCAGACGUGCACACCUUUUUUUUUUUUUUUUUUUUUUGAGACAGGUCUCUCGCUCUGUCACCAAGGCUGGAGUACAGUGGUGCAAUCUCAGCUUACUACAACCUCCACCUCCUGGGUUCAAGUGAUUCUCCUGCCUCAGCCUCCCGAGUAGCUGGAAUUACAGGUGCCCACCACCAUGCCCAGCUAAUUUUUUAUUUUUAGUAGAGAUGGGGUUUCGCCAUGUUGGCCAGGCUGGUCUUGAACUCCUGACAAGUGAUCCGUCUGCCUCGGUCUCCCAAAGUGCUGGGAUGACAGGUGUGAGCCACCACACAGGCUGGACGUGCCCAUCUUUGAGGGGACCAUGACUCAGCCGACUGCAGCAUGCACAUGCAGUCUCUCUGGCCAUGCUCCUCCCUGCUUUAAAUUCCUCCAUGGCUCCUGUGGACCCCUGGAUGAAGCCCCAUGUGCCUGCCUGUCUUUAGGCCUCUGCCAGCUUCUCUCGCCCUCCUCCUGCCCCCUCCAGCCUCGCGGGCCAUCCCAGCCUUCCCCGCCGUGUUCAUGUAACUUCCCCAGUCUGCAAUGCCUCCCACUUCCUUCUUUGUCUGACCAGGCUAUUUAUUCAUCUGGGCCCCAGCUAUAUUUGUUUCUGCUUACAGGAAGCCUUCACCCCAGCCCUGUUCCCUGCCGCUGUCCCAUGCUUGUGUCUCCAGCGAGGAAGGCUUCUCCGAGCUCCAAAAGGCAUUCUGGAUGCUCUAGUUGAAGGGCAGGUGGGUGGGGGGUGGAGACCCAUCUUGGGAACCUGCCCUUAAGUGUGCACACAAGCAGAUCUCCAAUUCCUCAGUCGCCCCUCAAGAUUCAGGGCUGGUUCCCUAGAAAUCAGGUCGAGGCUGUGCAGCUGGGUGCUGUGCCUGCUAUUGUAUGUGAUACUCAACAAACUUAGGAGGCCCCAUGUUAUAUGCAAGGAAACAGAGAGAGUAAGCCAGUGAUCCAGGGUCACACAGCAAAUGGCAACAGGCUGAGAGAUUUGGUCCCAGGGAGUCUAGCUAUGGAGCAGCAAUGCAUAUAGUCAGUGUCUGGCUUUGAGCCGGGAGUCUCCCACUCACUCAUGAGCUGUGUGACCUCAAGGAGGUUUCUUACCCUCUCUGUGCCUCACAGGCUUUUUAACAAAUUAAAAUCCACAGAAGCCUUAAUAGACAGCGUGGCGUAGCAAUCACUCUGUGUUACCUCGUAUUAUUUUUUCUUUUCUUGAGAUGGGGUCUCGCUUGUUGCCCUGGCUGGUCUUUAACUCCUGGGCUUGAGUGAUACUCCUGCACUGACCUCCGAGUAGCUGGAACUACUACAGGCACUUGUCACUGUGCCCGGUUAGCUUCUAUUAUUAUUAUUUGUUUUGAGAUGGAGUCUUGCUCUGUUGCCCAGGCUGGAAUGCAAUGGUGCAAUCUCUGCUCACUGCAACCUCUGCCUCCCUGGCUCAAGCGAUUCUCCCAUUUCAGCCUCCUGAGUAGCUGCCAUUACAGGCACCUGCCACCACAC